GCGGGCAUAGUUUAGUGGUUAAACGACUGCCUUCCAAGCAGUAGUCGGGAGUUCGAUUCCCCCUGCCCGCA
rfam:Candidatus Kaiserbacteria bacterium RIFOXYB1_FTLL_46_14 rifoxyb1_full_scaffold_64, whole genome shotgun sequence.